CCUUCCGUAAGGGGACUUGCGGAAGGAUCAUUA
rnacentral:rRNA from 1 species